rnacentral:rRNA from 1 species
UACCAGCAGCCCGAGUGGUCGGGACGAUUAUUGGGCCUAAAGGCAUCCGUAGCCGGUUUACAAGUUCCUCCGUUAAAUCCAGCUGCUUAAACACGAUGGGCUGGCGGAGGAUGACUAUAAGACUAGGAGGCAGGAGGAGGCGAAGCGGUACUCAGUGGGUAGGGGUAAAAUCCGUUGAUCCAUUGAAGACCACCAGUGGCGAAGGCGGCUUGCCAGAAUGCGCUCGACGGUGAGGGAUGAAAGCUGGGGGAGCAACCGGGAUUAAGAAACCCGUUGUAACGUCC